AUUGAACGCUGGCGGCAGGCCUAACACAUGCAAGUCGAGCGGAUGAAGGGAGCUUGCUCCUGGAUUCAGCGGCGGACGGGUGUGUAAUGCCUAGGAAUCUGCCUGCUAGUGGGGGAUAACGUCCGGAAACGGGCGCUAAUACCGCAUACGUCCUGAGGGAGAAAGUGGGGGAUCUUCGGACCUCACGCUAUCAGAUGAGCCUAGGUCGGAUUAGCUAGUUGGUGGGGUAAAGGCCUACCAAGGCGACGAUCCGUAACUGGUCUGAGAGGAUGAUCAGUCACACUGGAACUGAGACACGGUCCAGACUCCUACGGGAGGCAGCAGUGGGGAAUAUUGGACAAUGGGCGAAAGCCUGAUCCAGCCAUGCCGCGUGUGUGAAGAAGGUCUUCGGAUUGUAAAGCACUUUAAGUUGGGAGGAAGGGCAGUAAGUUAAUACCUUGCUGUUUUGACGUUACCAACAGAAUAAGCACCGGCUAACUUCGUG
rnacentral:rRNA from 1 species